rnacentral:rRNA from 1 species
UACGUAGGGUGCGAGCGUUAAUCGGAAUUACUGGGCGUAAAGCGUGCGCAGGCGGCUUCGCAAGUCAGACGUGAAAGCCCCGGGCUUAACCUGGGAAUGGCGUUUGAAACUACGGAGCUGGAGUGUGGCAGAGGGAGGUAGAAUUCCACGUGUAGCGGUGAAAUGCGUAGAUAUGUGGAGGAAUACCGAUGGCGAAGGCAGCCUCCUGGGCCAACACUGACGCUCGUGCACGAAAGCGUGGGGAGCAAACAGG